AAUGACGGAGGCCACCACACUGGCAAGCCGGAGGUCCGGCAUGCCUUGGCGUGGUUGGAAGGCUCUUUAGAAAAAAGAGCAGGGCCGACGCCGCCCCAGCGCCCCUUUCCGGGCAGAGGGAGCAUAUCCCCUGCGUUUGGCGGCUGCCCGGCCGGUGGCCCCAGCCUCCCGGGUCGCGAUUGUCAAGAUGCCUGGGCCGGGGCUCUCGCCUGUUGCGUUUCCCCUCCCGGCGCUCCUUUCUACAGGUGGGGACUACAGCGGUCCGUGGCGGCAGUGGCGAGGAGGGGCGUCGGUGAAGCUGGCGUGUUGGUUGUGCGGGGGUGGCCUCGCGGAGGAGCAGAGGAGAACCCACUGGGAUGGGCACUAGAGUGUUACAAUGAUCUGCGCAGAGCGGAGUGGUCUCUGGAGAUGCCUGAUGAUCUGUUCUGAGGAGCAGCCAGCAGCAUGAUGGACCCGGCCAGGGACCACUUACACCUGAGACGGACUAGAGAAAAAAACACUCCCAGAGAUGGAAGUCCAAGUCAAGAGCGUCACCUGUACCCAAGGAGACGGUGGCGGCAGCAGCAAGUACCUGUGGUCGAUUUCCAGGCGGAACUGAGACAGGUAUUCUCAGCCGGGAUGCCAAGAAGUGGUUAAAGUGGUAUUGGAACAUCUAGGUAGCUGAUUUCCAAGUGAAGUAAAAGUAUUAUCCGUGGGGGGCGGGGGUGGUGAUGGUGUGGGACCUCUUACAAUGAUCUACAAGACCCUCAUGAUCUUAUCUCCAACCUAGUCACCUCUCUGACCUAAUUUUGUACAACUCUUCAGUUUUGCGCUGGACGCAGGGCCUCCUUGCUAUUCUCCACACACAGUCCUACCUGGGCCUUUGCGCUAGCCGACCUUUGUGCCGGGGAUGCUUCCUCCCCGCCCCCUCCGUGAUUGACACCCUCACCUCCUUCAAGUCUUUGCUUGAAGCAUAGCACCUUCUCGUGUAUAACCUCUUCUGAGCACCCACUAACAGCUAACACACUAAUUAAUUUACCUAUUGUGUCCAUUGUUGAUUUUCUCCCACUCCCUCUGCCCCUUCUACAAAAAAAACAUGAACGCCAAGAGGCCUUUUUGUUACCAGUUCCUCAAAGUGUCUGGCACAACAACAAACAGUUGUUGAACGGGCAAACAAUGUCGUCAAAGAGAACAGAAUAUAAAAGGAGGGUCCAGGAGCCAGGGUUCAGCCAGGGGGAAGUGCCGGGUUAUCUUGUUUCAUCACCAGAGACUUUCUUAGGCUGAGAGCUGCAGAACUCUGAACACAUAAGGACUGUUCCUGCACUGAGACUGUUUCCUGCACUGAGACUUGACCAGACUCUAGCAUAGCUUCUGGCAGCACAAGGUUCUGUCCCUAAGUUUGACUUCCAGCCUGAGGAAGUUAAACACCUGACACAGGCCCCCAACCUGU
rnacentral:lncRNA from 1 species